rnacentral:lncRNA from 1 species
UUAAGACUACAUGUGUAUGUUAUUAUUUAUUUAUUUUACAGAAAAAGAGAAUUUACGAUGUGCAAUUGUAAAAAACACGAAAAAGAUUUGCGAAAAUUUCAGAAAGUAAUGCUAAAGCUUUGCAGAUAGUAUAUUUAAUAUUGCAUUAUGAUAUGUGUGCCAAGUUUAUUAUAUAAUAAAAUAUUUUAUCUCUCUUUUGUGUGUGUUACAGUUGUUUGCAGAAUGCAAUGGAGCAAACUAAUGCUGCAAUGAUAGCAGCGGAAAAUGAUCGUCAACGGAACGUUUUGGACGAAUAAUGGCUUACAUUGGAUAAGAAAAAGGUUACAAGUACAUGAAAAUCUGCUUCAAACUUUGAAUAGUGUACAUAGAUUAAUGGAAAAAAUAUUGAACAAAAAUAAAUAGAUAAGUUGCGGAUCCUGGAAAUAUCUUCAUUGUAAUCUGGGAUAUCUCUUGGAUAAAGUUAUCUAGAGUAUCUUCCACAAUAAAAUGUUUCUGUAUGCGUGUGGCAAGUGUUCGUCCUUGAAAUUCUAUCUUCAUGAUCUAUAUUGAGCUUAUGAUACAAGUUUUCACACAUUGUCUAUUUCGUCUAAUUCCACGUCUUGCCAUGUGCAAUCCUUAUAUUGUGCAUGUCAGCAUAUAUAUUAAUAAUUUUGCCAGCCCUACCUGGUUAACACAUUAACUCUUCUGAGCCGACAUCUAAACGCUGUUCUUCAAACAUCAAAGUAAUGUUCUAUACAUGAUACCUGUUCUAUACCUAUCACAAAUACGCAUUAGAACCUAGGCUAUUUGAUAUUUCGUGUUUUUAAAGGAAUCAUUAGCCAUAGCCCUAAGCUGCAUCCGUCAUCAUCUUACUCAGCAAACGAGAAAUCAUUGAGAAAUAUUGAAAAUAUUAUUCAUUAAAGUCGAAAUCAAGUUUUUGAAUUUUUUAAAUCUGCUUUCUAUUCAUAAUCCGCUUGAAUCAGUAAUUAUGGAUUAGUUUUUUUUUCUGUAUCUCAAUGUGCAUAGAAAUGUAACAUGCGACCAAUCCUAUUGAAACCGUAAUUAUAUAUUGGUAAUUUACUUUUGGUAUCUUACCCAAUGUUCAAAGUAAUGAACGUGCGACUAAUUCAUUUGAAUUUAAUGUGCGAUAUUGAAGAAUUGUCUAACAUAGGAGAUUCACCAACUGCUUGUCAUCGACAAGUAAUAGUCUCAGAAAGUAAUAUCAUUGAAAAGCACACAUCAAGGUAAUAUACAUAAGUCGUUGCCUCUCAAACAAAAACCCCGGUGUGAUACACAGAGUGUGUAACAUUGUGGAUCCAUGGCGACAAGGUAAUUUUUAGACAUAACUCUCGUCAUGAUAGUGCAGGUUAUAUCUGGGAGUCAUCCUAGCUGUUGUCGUGAAUCUGUAAUAUUGUAUAUUCUGUGUAUAGUACUAUAAGGCUCAUUCAGGAAGAAACGAUUCAUAUAUCUGUGAUCACCUUGGUGCAUGCUUUCCAAUGAUAAAUCACUUUCUGGGAUCGCAGACCAGCAUUUCAUUUCUGAAUCUAUAUGAAUCUACUAGAGUUCAUAUCAUUAUAUUUAUCUAGAAACGUAAUCAGUAUGUUCAGUCUCUAUAAAAUUCAAUACCUUGUUUGCGAAUAAUGCGAAUUCGAAAACUUGAUUUAUAUGGAUUUAUCUAAUUCAAUCCGUUUGCUGGGAUAAGAUUAAAAUAAGUAAGUUAUAAGAUUCUGAAGAAUAUAAAUUCGGAUAACACAAUAUUAGAGAAUUGUUUGAGCUUAGGUGUCUUGUGUCGAAUUUAUUAUAUAUAAACAAG